rnacentral:tRNA from 2 species
UGGUAGGAGACAAGGGAUUCGAACCCUCAAACAUCUCGUUCUAAGCGAGAUAGGUUUACCAAUUACCGUCAAUCUCCC